UACGUAGGGGGCUAGCGUUAUCCGGAAUUACUGGGCGUAAAGGGUGCGUAGGUGGUUUCUUAAGUCAGAGGUGAAAGGCUACGGCUCAACCGUAGUAAGCCUUUGAAACUGGGAAACUUGAGUGCAGGAGAGGAGAGUGGAAUUCCUAGUGUAGCGGUGAAAUGCGUAGAUAUUAGGAGGAACACCAGUGGCGAAGGCGGCUUUCUGGACUGUAACUGACACUGAGGCAUGAAAGCGUGGGUAGCAAACAGGAUUAGAUACCCCGGUAGUCCCUGAGCGGGCU
rnacentral:rRNA from 1 species